GAGGUCCUAAGGAACAAGGGCUACAAUCGCUCUCUAGACAUGUGGUCUGUUGGGGUCAUCAUCUAUGUAAGCCUAAGCGGCACAUUCCCAUUUAAUGAAGAUGAAGACAUACACGACCAAAUUCAGAAUGCAGCUUUCAUGUAUCCACCAAAUCCCUGGAAGGAAAUAUCUCAUGAAGAUGUUGACUUGAUACAAUAUAAUACCUAUAUCUUGGGGUGCUUGAGUAGUCAUUGCACUGCUUGAUCCUCACAGCAAUCCUCUGGUCUCAGUUUUCUUUUCUGAUAUGGUGAUGCUAAUUCCUACCUUACUGGGUUAUUAUAUACAAUAUCAGGACAUGUAACUUGUUCAUGUUACAGAUUGCCAUGAAAAUAGUGAGAAUAAGAAAAGAAGCACAAGUAUCUUUUUUCAGGAAUAAAGAAGAAACAACUAUAAACACCAGGGAAAUACAAAAAGUUGUAUAACAAAGUCGUGUAUAAUAAAGAUGCAACUAAC
rnacentral:lncRNA from 10 species